rnacentral:rRNA from 1 species
UACGAAGGGGGCUAGCGUUGCUCGGAAUCACUGGGCGUAAAGCGCACGUAGGCGGAUUGCCAAGUCAGGGGUGAAAUCCUGGAGCUCAACUCCAGAACUGCCUUUGAUACUGGCAACCUUGAGUCCGGGAGAGGUGAGUGGAACUGCGAGUGUAGAGGUGAAAUUCGUAGAUAUUCGCAAGAACACCAGUGGCGAAGGCGGCUCACUGGCCCGGUACUGACGCUGAGGUGCGAAAGCGUGGGGAGCAAACAGG